rnacentral:lncRNA from 1 species
AAGUGUUGCACGUGUACUGUUAAAAAUUAAUUUUUGUAUGGGGACAGGGAACCUGUUAAAACGUAUUGAUGCUCACACGGGAUCUUAUUGUUUGUUGGACUCAUGUGACUCAGCGUUCUGUAUUCAUUCACAAAGUGCAGAUACAUUUUCAGCGUUCUCCUCUCCAGGGCCUGAAACCGCCGAACUGCGGUUUCAUAAGAGUGAAAGAGUAACUUACGGUCAGCUUUAUAUGACAUUUUGAGUUGAAGUGGUCCUCAAGGCAUUACUUGAGUUGUUUUCACGAAUAAUUUUUCACAUUCUUUUUGCUCUUUUGUGAGUUUGAUACCAUUUGUUUCUGAAGGUAAUUCCUUUAAAGCCCAAAACUUUUGGACCACCGAAUUAAUUAACGUUAAGUCAUUUUCAGAUUGGCAUAAUGACACAACGCACCCUAAAAGGGUUUUCUGUAGCGUUGGUUAAUUAGGGCCACUUUUAAUUUCUGCACCCAAUAAGAUAUCAAUCUAUUUUGAUUUAUGGAAUUAUGGAUACACCAAUUUAAUAUUGUGUGGAAUUUUACAGCCAUUAGCAUUUCUGCUAAGGUCUGGAUGAUUAGCCGAAAGCAACGCAUUAUCCAGAAUUCCGCCGAAAGAAGCCGGGAGAAAUUACUAUUAUGUUUAACGUUUUGUGUUGGCGACGAAUCCGCAACUUAUGUGCCAAGUCCUCCGUCAUAAAAUUGACUUGGGAGCCUGAGUCCAGUAACGCUCUCGCAGACAGGAAUUCACCAUGACUGGUCCUCACUUGAAUAACAGCUGUCGCCAACAUUACUCGAUCCGGCAUACUCGCUGUGUACAUGGCAUGUGUGGUUGAUGGCUGCGGAUGAGAUGCAGUGGGAAAGGAAACUGGGUACUGAUGCAACAAUGUGUGAUGCGAUCGAUUGCAUACACGACAUCGAUCCGCUUUGCACUUGGAUACAGCAUGCUCCUUACAUAAGCAAUUUAUCCAUAAGGGCACCGAUUUCACAAACUCGAACCUCUGUUGUACGGGAAGCGCCUUGAAAGUGGGGCAGGCAGUUAAAGGAUGUUCCUUUGACUUGCAUUUUUGACAAGUUGGCUGCUUUGCUUCUGCAGCAACUAAAGCUGAUUUUGUCCUGUCCAUGUGUGGCUGCUUCAUGUGGCUCAUGCUGAUUGUGGCUCCGGAUUUCGUCCUCGAACAAGAUGCUCUUCCGCUGCUAACUGCUGAAACAUUUAUUUAAAGUUGCUUCGCAAUUCUUCCAUAAUGGUAAGUGAUCGUAGUCAAGUUGCUCUUCCCACUUGGAUCGGGUGGCAGAGUCAACCAUUGUCAUAAAUAUGCUGACCACCUGUACGUAAAUGACACGUAGCGAUGUACCGUGUACCGAAGCUUUAGCGAAAAUCACGAAAAUGUACGUAAAUUGAAACGGAGAAUAUUGAUGUACAUAAUUUGCGUUAAAACAACAAAUAAUUGCUAUACAAUUGUGUCCCACCCGUGACGAUGGAAUGAAUACCCCUAAUGCAAAUUAAAUAUAUUCACCAAGCUUUAACUAUGUUAAACUCGCCAUUAUGGCAACGCCGUUUGUGGAAUGCUUUUAUUGUAUUUGUUCGUGUUAAAGUGAAAUUACAUAUGUUAAAGCUCUUCUUAUUUACAUUUAUUCAUGUAUUUUCUACCAACAAUUUGUGGAACUUAUGCUGACAGGUGAUAUUGUGGAAGCGACGCUAUUGUGUGUGUACGUUGUAUUAUUUUUUUAAAAUGUCGCGAAAACGUGCAUAGUGGUCGCGGAGAUAUUGAUUCGCAUAUUAAAUCAAAAAAUCACCAAAAUGCAUUGCACGCUGCCACGUCCAGCCCCACACUCAAUAGAUAUUUAAAAAGUUCUACUUUGAAAGGAAUAGAUGCCCAUAUCGCGGCGUGUGAAGGCGUUUGGGCAUUUCAUGUCAUAAGUUCUAAUCACACUUUUCGCUCGGCCGAUUGCGCUUCCAAAAUCAUUCAAAGUUGUUUCGCAAUGUCCAAAUUUUCUUGUGCGCGAACGAAAUGCGAAGCAAUCGCAACCGAAGUUUUCGCACCGUUCGUAUUGCAAGAGCUCCAGAAAGACUUAAAUGACUGUCAUUUCUUCACUAUAUUGACGGACGCCUCUAAUCAUGGCAGCACAAAAAUGUUUCCGAUAUUAGUUUGCUUCUUUUCGGAAAAGGAUGGCGUCAAAGUGAAAAUUAUAGACUUGGUAGAUGCACAUGGAGAAAGUUCCGAAAUAAUUGUAAAUUUGCUGAAUAGCGCUAUGAACAAAUUGAACAUAAAUAAGAAACUAGUUGCGUUUUGUGGAGAUAACGCGGCGUGUAAUUUUGGCAACGGUAAUCGAACCGGCACAAAUAAUGUGUUCUACAAACUGAAGCAGCUUUAUCCUGGGUUGAUUGGCGUUGGAUGCGCAGCGGAUAUUGUUCACAAUACUUUAAAAAAAAAGCUUGCGACAAAAUGCCUUUUGAUGUGGAGAUGAUUGUAGUCAAAAUUUAUUCACAUUUCUAUUUGUUCACCGUGCGUGUCGCAAAAUUUAAAAAAUUUUGUGAAUCCGUGGAUGUGGAAUAUAAAAAACUGAUAGGUUACAGCAAAUCUCGUUUCUUAGGCUUGUUGUCAUCAGUCGUCUCAAUAUUAAGAAUUUUUGAUGGUCUUAAGGAAUAUUUUUUGGGAGAUGCCAACACCCCAAAUUCUUUUCUACUAUAUUUUGAAGAUCCAAGGGCCAAGAUGUGGCUGCUUUUCCUUCGUGAUCAAGCAUCUAUUUUCAACAGAACAGUUAAAGCAGUGGAAAGCGACAAUAUUAAUGCAAUGGAAGUUGGGCAUGCACCCAAUUCUUUUGUCCAGUCGCUCGAAUCUCGGAAAAAAGAAAUGCUUCUUCCGCUACAGUGCAAAAGGAAAUGGAAUAUAUUUCUGCUGUUGACGAAAGAGUGUCAAAAGAAGAGAUGCAAGAUCUCUCACUUCAAUUCUAUGAAUCAUGUAUAAAAUAUAUUGAAAAGUGGAAAGAACAAUUUGACCAUAUUAUGAUUUUUGCCUGGUGUCCACCGCAAUGGAAGUUUAUCGAAACCACCGCGAAGUACAUCGCAACCAAUAACCAUUUUGAUCUGGAAUCAUCCGAUACUGAUUUAUUCGAUCAGUUCACGUAUUUGGAAAGCUACGUAACCGAAGAGAAAAUCCAAUCGUGGGAAGAAAAUGGUACUGCCACCGAUCAACGCUGGGUUGAAAAUUUUCAACAUUUCGUCAAAAAGAAGGUUCCGUACAACCACAUGGUCAGAAUCAUAUCGUAUAUUCUCUCAUUGCCAGGCAAAUCAGCCACCGUUGAACGAGUAUUUUCUCUGAUCAAUCAAAUUUGGAACGAUGAAAAAUCAAAAAUAAAGAUCGAAAAAUUGCGAGAUCUUUUAUAUGUUCGAUACAACAUUAAAAUGACUUGUAAGGAAUUUUUUUAAUUUUUAAAAAUACAACCUAAAAUGUUGAAGGAAAUUGCAUCAAAUGAAAAAUACGCAUUCAAAAAUGCCAAUCAGAUCGACGAAAACAAUAAUAAUAAUAAUAAUUUGUACGUAAAAAACGAAUUGGAUAUCGAAAAAUAAACUGCUUUCUCCAUA